rnacentral:lncRNA from 1 species
CAUCACACCAUCACCAUCACCACAUCACAUCACCAUCUCACAUCACCAUCACCAUCAUCACCAUCAUCACCAUCACCAUCUCACCAUCACCAUCGUCACCAUCACCACCACCAUCACCACCAUCACCAUCACCACCAUCACCAUCACCACCAUCUCACCAUCACCAUCAUCACCAUCACCAGCAUCACCAUCACACCAUCACCACCACCAUCACCAUCACCACCAUCUUCACCAUCACCACCACCAUCAUCACCAUCAUCACCAUCACCAUCAUCACCAUCACCACCAUCACCACCCACCAUCACCAUCACCACCAUCUCACCAUCACCACCACCAUCAUCACCAUCACCAUCACACAUCACCAUCAUCACCAUCACCAUCGUCACCAUCAUCACCAUCACCAUCAUCACCAUCACAUUCACCAUCAUCACUCACCAUCAUCACCAUCACCACCAUCACUCACCAUCACCAUCACCAUCACCACCAUCACCAUCACCAUCAUCACCAUCACCAUUGUCACCAUCACCAUCGUCACCAUCACCACCACCAUCACCACCAUCACCAUCAUCACCAUCUUCACCAUCACCAUCAUUACCAUCACCAUCAUCACCAUCACCAUCAUCACCAUCACCAUCAUCACCAUCACCAUCGUCACCAUCAUCACCAUCACCAUCAUCACCAUCAUCACUAUCACCAUCAUCAGCAUCACCAUCAUCACCACCAUCACCAUCACCAUCACCACAAUCAUCACCAUCACCAGCAUCACCAUCAUCACCAUCACCAUCACCAUCAUCACCACCAUCACCAUCACCAUCACCAUCAUCAGCAUCACCACCACCAUCACCAUCACCAUCACCACCAUCAUCACCAUCACCAUCACCACCGUCACCAUCGUCACCGUCACCGUCACCGUCGUCACCAUCACCAUCAUCACCAUCAUCGUCACUCUGCUGAUGAAGAGACUUGUUUUAUUCAAUAAAAAUUUACACAGAUUCCCACCGUGGUACAGUGAGUUAAG